rnacentral:lncRNA from 1 species
CAAUUACAAAAAUUUACAAUUUGUGCACCUACUUAUACUAAAAUUAUUCCAUCAGAGUUUGCUGAGAAGCGUGGUGGGAUAACAGAAAAAGAAAAAGAAUGUGAGUGUAGUAAAGAAAGAGAAUGUCAAUUAAUAGAAAAAGAAGAAUUUGAUAAUUUUAUAGAAGAAUAUGAAGAAUUUUAUGAAAGCUUUAAAGAAGAUGAAGAAUCAUGCUUAGAAUUUGUAGAAAUGGAAAAAAUUUAUAAUCUUUUAGUAACAGAACAAGAUAUAGAAAAUAUGAUAAGUAAAUUAGAAAAAUUA